AGGGUUAUAGUUAAUAAAUAACAUUUAAUUUGCAAUUAAAAAUUGCUUUAUAGCUUACCUUG
rnacentral:tRNA from 1 species